GGUUCCUUAGCUCAGCUGGAUAGAGCGCUACCCUCCGAAGGUAGAGGUCACAGGUUCGAAUCCUGUAGGGACCG
rnacentral:tRNA from 1 species